AAGGGAUGCCAAGCUGUGUGGUUGAUACAGAAGGCUGAGGCAGGAGGAUCGCUGCUAGCUGGAGGCCAACCUGGGCCACACAGUGAGAUCCUGUCUCAAAAACAAAAACAAAGCAGACUUUCAGAGUUGUCAGAGGAUCUGGGCAGGGCUAUCCCAGCAGCCUCCUGGUGAAGGGACCUGAUCAAUAACCCCCAUAAUCCGCAGGCGGGACUACUUGGAGACAAAGUCUCACUAUGCAGCCCAAGCUGCCCUCCAGCUCACAGGGAUCCUCCUGCCUCAGCCUCCCAAACCUGGGGAUUACAGAAUACAAGCCUCACGGAUGCCAGAACGUUUUCCCCGGUGCACAGAAGUGUUCCUGGCACCAGAAGCGCUCAUAAAUAUUGAUCGGACACAGGAAUGAAUGAAUGCUGUUACCGCAUCACGACUGCUUCGCGGGCUGGACAGGGCCAGAGCGGCCGCAGGCAGCGUCCCUGUGCCCCUAAGGAAAGGCAGCAGUGGCCCAGCCCUGCCUGUCCUCUGCCAGAGACCAAAUGCCGGCGGGCUCUCUGUCCCCGGCAGGCAGGGCUGGCUUCUGGCUGCCAUGGUUACCGGGCACCGGGGCCCAGAAGAAAGGCGAGAUCGGGCGGCUGGGCCCGCGGCAGCUUCCUGGGGGCCCCAGGGUGCGGUGGAGGAAGCGCGCUCAAAGCUGGGGCUACCAUGGCUUUGUUGCCGCUGCAUUGUGCCCAGAUGGAGGAAGAUGACACAGGAGGACGCGCUGUCCUUUACAAUUGGGCCGCUCUUUGCACGCCCCGAGCACCUGGCCAGGCCCGGGAGCUGGCAGGGGUGCACACCCGGGUCCUGCCCUAGAGGCGCCGCUGCAACGGGCAGGCAGGGACUUAGCUGUGGAUAAAAAUAGCAGCGCUCCACGUGACUGGGAAGCAGGUGCGGUGGGAAGGAGGGGGAGGGGAGAGGGAGGGGAGGGAAGGAAGAGGAGUGGGGCUCCCCACAUAGCUGCCCCUCCUUCCCACGCCAGCAGAAGCGCAGGGACCCCAGACACAGACGGCCCCUGCCGUGCAGCCUGGGGUCCCCACCACGGCCAGCUUCCGGUAGGACCAGCGUCCAGCUCUUCCCAAACCCUCAACCUGCUCUGCAAAGGUGUCGGAGGCGCAGGCCAUCCCCCCUCCUCCCCCGCGCUCCCUUGGGACAUAUGUGACCUCCAGGGAACCUUGGGGACUCACACGCCCCCAAGCAGCACCUGUAGGGGUUUGGGGCCCAGGGCUGCGACCCAGUCAUCCACAGUCUCCAUCAAAUCACCGUCAGGGGUUAACUGGGCUCGCCCCGGAAAUCCAGGUCCAGCCCCGAGCCUGGAACCUGAGGACUCGGCCUUACUUGGAGAUGCGCUCUUUGCUGAAGCGCCCAUAUCCAACGGAGCCAGCCCAGGAACAUUACUGUCCUAAAACAGGGGGCCCUGGGACAGACGGACACCUGCGGCGGCAAGGCAGGGGAGGACACUGCAUGGGUGACAGCGGAGGACGGCACUGCAGCCACAGCUGAGUGGGGCGGUGCACACCUGUUAUCCGGGCACUGGAGAGGCUGAGGCAGGAGGAGCGCGAGGCUGGGGCGGACCUGUUCCGAGCAUUGCUAACUAGGAUUUGACCUUUUUCUGAUCAGGCAGGGCUCGAUAGCAAACCAGGACAGUCGCCAUGAGAUUCAACGACACCAUCCCAGCCCGAAUGGCCAUUCCCACACCAGCCUCAGCACCACCCUCACUGAUCACUGUGGUUGUCACCCUCACCCCUGGCACCACCCUUACUCCACCAUUGUUCCCAGCGUUGCCACCAUGUCAGUCUCCUGUCACUGCAGGAAAAACUGCCAGAGUCUCUGUGGUUUAACACAACAGGUUAGACCAGGCAUGGUGUCCACGCCUGAAACCCAGUGCUCUGGGAGGCUGAAGCAGGAGGGUGCAAAGCUGUAGCCCGAGAGGCAAUUUGGCAACUUACCACGCUCUGUCCUCUAUAGAACUGGAAAAUGUAACUGGGUACAAAAGCCCUGGGACCAGUCGCCCACACCUUAAAAACAACAAAGACACAGAGUAUUCUCUUCCAGUUCCAGAGAUGGGAAUCUGAAGUCAAGGGGCUGGCAGAGCUGCUCUUCUGUUUCUUGCUUUGUUUUUGACACUCUGUAGUUCAGGCUGGUCUGGAACUCACUGUGUAGCCCAUGCUGGCCUCAAACUCUCAGAGAUCCUCCUGCCUCACGGUUCUGAGUGCUGGGAUCACAGGUGUGUGGCCAAAGGCUUGGAAAGAUCCCUCCAGCAUCUGGCUAUGUCACUAUGUCUCUGCUUGUCUGCACUUGGGCUUCUGUCUUUUAUGAGGACUUUUAGGCCCAGCUAAAAUCCAGGAGGCGCUUGUCUCAAGAUUCUUAAUCGAAUCUCCGAUGACACUUCUAAAUAAAGUCACAUGCAGAUUCCAGGGAUGAGGGUAUGGAUGUAUUUUUGGUGGGGGCACCAUCUGUCCUCCACAAGCGUGUGUAUCAGGUGCUCUACCUGCAUCGUGGUCUCUGUUUCUUUAGACCAACCUAGGGCAGCUGCAAUUAUCUGUAAUCCCAGCACUCUGGGAGGCUGAGGCAGAAAGAUCACAGAUUCGAGGCCAAGCUAGGCAACUCAACAAGAUUCCAUCCUAAAAUAAAACAUAAAAAUAAAAAGGC